ACUGUUGAAUCAAGAGUACAGCAGGAUGGUAAAGUUGUUACGAGUCGUGGACCUGGCACUACUAUGGAGUUUGCUGUUGCACUUGUUGAGCAGUUGUAUGGGAAAGAGAGAGCUGAUGAAGUUUCUGGGCCACUGGUAGUAACUUUUAUAGAUAAUGUUGCUUAAAAAAAUUGUGAGUCAUAUAAUUUGUGGAAAUUCAUUCUAAUAGGUAUGUCAACUUGGAAGGUUCAGAUGCUAAUGUAUUCCAAAAAAUUAGUUCAGGGGAAAAGUAUGACUUUUUGCAUUAGAGAUUCAUUAGAUGAAGUUGUAUACCUGCUGGCCCAUCUUAAUGUGGUGAAAACGAUGACUGCUAAGACUGAUAUAAUUAUCGGAAUCUUGAUAAAUGCAUUUGUUGAGCUUCAAUGUCUCCACUGAUCACAUUCUUUUUAAUGUAAGUUCUUUCUCUUGGUAUUUGUCUUUGAAUUUUCUCUUCCUCAUGCUUUCGUCUUCACUGUCACCUUGUGCCUAGGUAAUGCGUGCAAAUCAUGGAGAUGAAUACACUAUUGCUGAAUUCAAUCCAAUUCAGUGGACAUUUGACAAUUCUCCCCAGGUGAGAUUGGACUUCUAGUUUCUUGUAUUUGUUUUCCUUCAUCUGAUGUUUUCAGGGAUACCCAUUUGGCAGUAUAUAAAAAUCUGUGAUAUCUUCUAUACAUAUACAUAUACAUCAUUGGCUUCAGUCAUUUGUGAACAUAUUGGAGGUAGUAGAUGUAUUUUUAUGGUAUCUCUAAUAAAAUCCCAAGUUUGAUCAAUUACAAAAGAAGUAUGAGCGGUGCUGGACCGGGUUGGGGGGAAGUGGGGGGUCAGUGUGGUGGGCGUGUGCGGUGCAUGAAUAAAGGAAAUGAUAGGGGGUAAAAGUUUGUGCUACCGACAUGCUGUCAAAUGGGGAUACAAUAUUUCAAAUUAGAGAUUGUGAGAUCCUUAAUAUUGCUGACUUGUGCUUAAAAUGGAAUUCUUGAUAACUUCAAAUGUUAAAUUUCUUGGUGAAAUUUUGUACUUUCUUUUCUUUCAGAUUCUUGUGCCUAUUGCAAAUGGUUCGGAGGAGAUGGAAGCUGUUAUGAUAAUUGAUAUUCUGCGACGAGCUAAAGCAAAUGUUGUAGUUGCAUCAGUUGAGGAUAAACUAGAAAUUCUGGCUUCUCGUCAAAUUAAAUUAGUGGCAGAUGUGCUCAUUGAUGAGGCAGCUAAACUGUCGUAUGAUUUAAUUGUCUUGCCAGUGAGUUGGGGUGCAUACACUUGCUUCAUAGUCUUUACCACAUUAUUGACUUACUAACUACAAUUUAUCCAUGCACAUUGCACAGGGUGGACUUGGUGGCGCUCAAGCAUUUGCGAAGUCAGAUAAAUUGGUGAAUAUGCUAAAGAAGCAAAAGGAAUCAAAUAGACCUUAUGGUGCUAUAUGUGCAUCCCCAGCUUUAGUGUUGGAGCCCCAUGGCUUACUCAAGGUACGACCGUUUCUGCUUAAAUUAUUUACUCAGAUUUGGAUCACCCAAUCUGAACUUGAUGAAGGAUUAUGAUGUUGUGUGAUUUUAUGAAUGUGGUCGUAUCUCAUGUAAGUCAGUGAUGAAUUAAUUGGAGUUUGCUGACAAAUUAGAAACUGAAAAACUGCUGCUGCUUCAUUAGUUACAUUACCCAAAGAGUUAAAAUAAACAUCCCAAAUUUUGUCCCAAAUUCUGUCCCAAAUGAUAUGGCAUUUAUUGAGUGAUUGUAUUAUCUAACCAACCAAUUGAUGAAUGUCACAUAAUUUGAGAUGGUUUUUUGGGAUAAAGAAUUUGGGAUUUUUACCCGCAAAAAUCCCAAGUACUUCCUGCUCCUGCAAUAUCAUUGCUGUGUAUUUGCUUUCCCCUUAGACAUAUUCAAUUGUGGUUCAGGGUAAAAAAGCUACAGCUUUUCCUGCUAUGUGCAACAAGCUGUCAGAUCAGAGUGAAAUCGAAAACAGGGUUGUGGUUGAUGGCAACCUCAUCACCAGUAGAGGGCCAGGAACUUCUAUGGAGUUUGCACUGGCAAUUGUGGAGAAGUUUUUGGGCCGCAACAAGGCACUUGAGCUUGCAAAGAUAAUGCUUUUCACUCGCGCCUAACGUUUGUAUGGGGACCUGUCUACUAUUAAACUAGUGUGUUUAUUUCUGUAUUGCUACUGCUUGUAGAGAGGGGAAAUGGAAACUUGAAUUCAUGUUUGAAUAUGGAUUCACUGUGUGGGUUUGUACAGCAGUUUGGUUUAUAAAUAAAUGAGUUCAUGGAGUCACUUCAAAUAUUCGGAAUAAACCUGAGUUUAGAUCUGUUAUCAAUGGUCGGAGUCCAAUUGCGAUCGACUCACUGGGAAUUUUAAUUAUGAAUCAUGUUAUAUUCCACCUUUCUCAUAAAAUGUUAACUCGAUUUACAGGAUAAGAAGGAAAAGAAAGACGCUAAGAGAGGAGCAGACACCCAAAAAGAGUUGACCACUUUGUUGGAACAUAAAUCUCUAGAAUAUUGAAAUAAAACACAUACCAUAUCUAGUAUCAAGUAUGUAUGUGCAAGAAGAUACAAAUUUGAAGAUCAGAUUUCUCAUUUCAAUUUAUGUUCUGCUUAGAGCAAUGGCUCUUAUUCCACAAGCACAAGCAGGAAAGAGUACGCACGAAGUUAAGAAACACACAUUGCAAAAGUUGCAUUAACUACUUGCGGCAACAUCAUCCAAGAACUUGACUUUAAUCUUCUUGAGCUUCGCUGCAGCAUCUGUCAUAUGCAUUCUCUUGUCAGGUGACUCCAUACAACAAUCCAAUGCCAAAUCCAUGAUGCUUAAUAAACAAUCCAUUUUGGCAGAAAAAGCUUGCUCUUCUCGCACCAAAUUUGCGUCAACAACUUCACUCAAUCUGUGAGGUAAUGACUCCUUCACCCAUCUCCUUAAACUCAUUUCUUCUGUGAACAUUUGAUCGGUGGGCCUCUUUCUCGUGAAAGUUUCCAUCAAUAACACACCAUAGCUGUAGACAUCACAUUUGGCUGAAACAAUUCCUUCUAAUCCAUACUCUGCAUUUUUUAAUUUUAAUUAUGAAACAAAUGAUAAAACAAAUAAUUUUUUUGAUAAUUAAGGUAACCCAAACUUUGCUCGUGCUUGAAAAAAGAGCAAAAAUUUUAAUUACAAUUGAAACUUUACCUGGUGCCAUAUAACCAAUUGUAGCCAUUGUCAUGGUUUGUGUCACACAAUCUUCUCCUUCACCUAAGAGUUUGGAAAUGCCGAAGUCGCACACAUGUGCCAUCAUAUUUUCAUCCAAGAGAAUGUUGGUGGGCUUCAAAUCACAAUGAAUUAUAGGUGCCGACGAAUGACCAUGAUGGAGAUAUUCAAGAGCCGACCCCACAUCUAUCAUUAUAUUCAACCUCUCUAGAAUGUCUAAGAAAUAAUUGUAAGAAUACAACCACUUCUCGAGACUACCAUUUGGCAUGAACUCAAGUACCAAUGCUUUGAAAUCUGGAUUAGAACAACUGCUAAGGAUCUUUAUGAGAUUUCGAUGACGAACAUUCCGUAAAACUUCACAUUCAGAAUCAAAACUCCUAAAUGCUCUCUCUAGUUGCAGAUUGAAAAUCUUUAUUGCAACAUUAGUCCCGUCGGAAAUGGUUCCUUUAUAAACUGAUCCAAAACUACCUGUACCCAGCAAGUUACAUUCAUUAAAUUCAUCAGUUGCUCGUUGAAUGUCAAGGUAGGAUGUUCUUCUCCAUGUUGCAAGAGGUAGGAAAUCUUCGUGAUCUGAUUUUUUUGUACUCCUCUUUCGGCAUCUUAUGUACAUAAUGAUGAUAAUCACUAUAAGUACAGAGGAUACUAUCGGAGGCAAAAUAUAUUUAAGGACAAUUAGAGCAACGUUCUUGGUGCUUUUGCUGUCACCUUGUUUGCAAGGUGGGACUCGGAGUUUAGGUGGACCACAGAGUGCAUAAUUUCCGAAAAAUGAUUCAGUUGACAAGUUUUUAAAAGACCCCUUAACAGGAAUUUCCCCUUCUAGCCUAUUAUGAGACACAUUAAAUUGUUUGAGAUGUGACAAUAUCUCCAAUGACUUAGGAAUUUUUCCAGAGAGAUUGUUGCCGGAGAGAUCUAAGGAUUCUAAGCUUAUCAAACUGCCAACUGAUUCAGGAAUAGGUCCCUGAAAUUGAUUACGAGCCAAGGAUAGAGUUUCUAGAUCUAUGAGGGCACCAAUGGUUGAUGGAAUAUCACCUAAUAAUUGAUUCCUUGAUAAAUCUAAAACUGUCAAGACCUUUAACUUUUGUACAUUGGAAGGGAGAGGACCAUUUAAUGAAUUAGACGACAAGUUUAUCUCUAAGAUGUACUCAAGGCUCCACAAGGAUGACGGUAUACUAGAAGUGAGCUUGUUGGAGCCUAAGCGGAGUUCUCUUAGAGAUGUCAAACUCGCCAAGCAUGGCGGUAUAUGUCCAGAGAGCUUAUUUCCAUUUAACCUUAUUCCGUAUAUCAACUCCAAGUGGCAAAGAUCAUAGGGAAUGGAUCCUUCCAAAUUAUUUUCUUCAAGAGAUAAACCUUGUAGCCGCUUAAGUCUUCCCAUCGUUGGUGAAAUAGUUCCAUUCAAGUCAUUGAAGCCGAGGCUUAAGAGGAUCAGGCCACGCAACUUACCAAUUUCUUUAGGAAUGCUGCCCCCGAGUUUGCAGUUGGAUGCAUAAAAUUGUCGAAGAGAAGCAGAGAAAUUUCCAAUCACUGGUGGAAGGAUGCCACCCAAUGGAUUAUAAGCUAAGGCUAAAAAUGUUAAAUUUCUGCAAUUAGUCAGAGAAGAGAGAAAACUCCACUGAUCUGCUGAAGAUGAUUCUGUCGUCAAGUUAUUAAAUGCUAAGCUGAGCACGUCGAGGUGUCUCAAGUUGCCAAAUGUAUUUGGAAUAUGGCCCGAGAAUGAGUUGAAGCCCAAGUCUAGGGCAACGAGUUUAGUAGCAUUGGUGAUAGAGUGGGGAAUUAUCCCUAUAAGAUUAUUGGCCGACAAGGCUAAAUACUCUAUGUUCGGAAGCGAGUGGCCAAUCGUUGACGGUAAGCGGCCUGAGAGUUGAUUGCCCCCCAGAGUAAGGAUUCUCAUGGUUGAAAUGUUGAAGAUCGUGGGUGGAAUGAGGCCACUUAAAUUGUUGUCAGCAAAAACAAGAACCUCCAAAUUUUCCAGAUUGCCAAUCUCGGUUGGAAUUUGACCUGCCAUCAGGCCAACAUUGAGGAGUCAUUGAGCUUUUAGCUUAAGGUAAAUUGAGUUUGACAAUGUUACCCUUGAAAAUGUAAAAGGAUCAAAUUAAUUUUAUUACACAAUAAUUUCAGCCAAUAAUGUUCUUUACACAAUAAUUCUGCAAAAUAUGCAUGCAAAUGGAAAAAUAUGCUUCAAUUACAAGAGGUGGUGGAGCGUACCUCGAAGAUUGCUGAAGCUAAGAUCCAGAUACACGAGUUUACUCAAAUUUCCAAUCCUUGAAGGAAUAUUUCCACCAAUAGUAUUGAACUCUGCACGCAGCGUCUCUAGCCUUGAUAAGUUGAAGAGAGAAUUAGGGAUGGGACCUGUGAAACUGUUAUUAUAAAGUCUCAAUAUUCGGAGUUUAGAUAAGACACCAAUCCAUGAUGGAAAGCUUCCGCUCAAUUUAUUGUAAGCGAAACUCACGACUCUGAGUCGACGUAAUUGCCCCAAUUCUUUCGGCAGAUGGCCAUGAAAAUUGUUCUCACUAAUGUCAAGAGACACUAGAAAUGAGAGAUUUCCCAAGUGUAGUGGAAUGGUGCCUCCGAGACCCAUAUCUGAAAGAUUCAAGGCAGUGACUCGUUGAUGGCGUGAACCACAAGAGAUACCAACCCAGCUACAUAUUGGAUAAGAUAUAGACCAAUUAUUUGCCAGGGCACUCCGAUAAUCAAGAAUGUGGGCUUUGAAUGCCAGAAGAGCUGAUUGAUCUGUUGUUAAAUCGUUUAAAGUCGUCACAGCUAAGCUAGCAAUGAGAUACUGUAACACUAACACCGACAUAGGAACAAAGAAGAAUGAUAAGCGCAUAUUGGUCGUUUUUAGUAGUAGUUGCAAGGCGAGAUUGAUACAAGUUUUAAGUAAAGGAAAUUAGCAUAUACUUAUAAUGAGACAUAUGAAUUUGAAAAUAAGAGCAGAAAAAAUAUACAGGAGACUUGCAAAUUGUUAUAUUCUGUCAUUGAGCGAGCCGUCCAAGUAAACGCAUUUACACUUGAACCCUAAAUAAAGGCCUUAUGGCACUUUAAUUGCCAUAAGGAAGAAGAUGCUCAACAUUGCCAAAAGUGUUUUUCUUGAAGUCUCGUCUUCCGUAAUGUUUGUAAAAUCGAGGUUUUACCAUCUCUAAUUAAAUAUUUACUCUUGAUUUAGACCACGUAAUCUAAACUUGACGAAAAAUUAUGAUCUUAUGUGAUUUUAUGAAUGUGGUCUUAUCUCUUAUAAGUCGGCAAUGAAUUAAUUAAAGCUUGCUGACAAAUUACAAGCUCAAAAAUAUCUUUUACUUAUUCACAAUCUUAUUUCAUUUUUUUAUAACAUAAUAUUAAAAAUUUGUCUAUUAAAUUAAUUUAAUAAUUUUUUUAAUAAAAAAUCUCAUUGACGACCAAACAACUAAUUUUUUUUUUAUAAAAGCUUUGCUUGUUAAAAUUAUGCUGAAAAAAACUCUACUUAAGUAAGUUCUAUUUUUUUUAUAAAAGCCAUUUUAUUUCUUUAUCUUUUUUAAUUAUUAUUGGAAAAGUAGCGCAGCUUAUCAAAAAAGGAAAGAAAAAAAAAAGUCAAAGUGACGAGUGGCUUGUUUUUUAAUUUCAAAGUCAAUGCAAAGUAAAAGUACCGAAAUAAUCAGUUUUUAAAUCCAAAUAAGUGGCAAUAAAGGGAGGUCUUGUUAGGGGUGUUCGCGGAUCGAAUUUUAUGGAUUGGACAUCAAUCCAUAUUCGAUCCACGAUUUUACGGAUUAUAAAAUUUCAAUCCAAUUCAAUCCACGGAUUUGUAAAAUUCAAUCCAAAUCCAAUCCAUAAAUCUGCGGAUCAGAUGCAAAUUUGACCUAAUCCAUAUCCAAUCUACAAUUUUGCGGAUUGGUUUGUGGACUGAAAAUUUUUAAUUCUGUCAAAUCCACGAACUAACUAAAUAAAAAAAUUUAAUAUAAAAAUAAUUUUACUACGGAUCAAAUUUAAAAUUAAAUAAGAUUUAAAUAAAUAAAUUGCUUAAAUAAAGCUAGCAAAUACAUUUAAAGUUUCAAAAUAUAACACACCAAAAUGAAAAAAAUAUCAUUCGUUUUAGAUCAAGGAAAUUAACUAUUUAGUAAACUAUAUUUGUUUAUUUAAUUAUUUUUUAUUUUUUAUUAUUAUCGGAUAUGAUAUAAUAUAAUGUUAAUGUAACUAUAUUUUAACUUAUUUAUUUACUAGUAAGUACUAAUAACAUAUUUACAAGUUUUAUUUUUAAUUAAAUAAAUACUUUUUAUUUUUUUGCGGAUUCGCGGAUUUUUACCGAUUUACAGAAGUAGAUCCAUAUCCAAUCCACUGAUUGCGGAUUAUCAAAUUUUCAAUUCAAUCCAAUCCACCAAUCCACGGAUCAGACGGAUUGAGCAGAUCGAAUUAGAUUAUGAACACCCUUAGGUUUUGGUGUGCAUUGUUGAAAACUUGGAAGUCUAUAUGACCAUUUAACCAAACUAUAGGGGUAUAACUGUCACAAAUUUUUAAAAAUAAAUUUUACCAAACAUUUAAAUGAUUUUUUUUUCACAAUUGAUUAUUAAAUUCUAAGUGUUAGACUAUUGUAAGAAUACAAAUAAUUGACAUGGACAUAAUAUUAAAUAAAAUUUACUUAUAUAUAUAUAUAUAUAUAUAUAUAUAUAUAUAUAUAUAUAUUAUUGUUUGUAUAUAAAAAUUGCUAACUAAAAAAUAUUUAUAUUUUAUCAAUUUUAUUUCUUUUAUUUUUUUAUCUCAAGAUAAAUAUAAUAAUAACAAUCUCUCUAAAUUUAAUUAUUUUUGCUCUUUAUUGAAUAAGGAUAAUUUUGAGUUUCUGUAAUAUAUGUGAGGAUAUAUAUAAAAUUGUAUUAAAUAUAUAACUAUUCUCAAAAUUAAAUUUUAAAAAACUAGUUCAUUCUCACUUUUCAUUUAAUUAGGCAAAUGGCCACAGAAAUUGUUCUCCCUCAUAUCCAAAUAAACUGAAAACGAGAGAUUUCGUAAGUGUGGAGGGAUGAUGCCUUCGAAACCCAUCACUGAAAGAUUCAAGUUUGUGACUCUAUGGUAUGAGCACCACAACAUAUGCCAAUUCGACUGCAUAUUGAGUAAGACAUGGACCAAUUAUUCAAGAGAUUCAUGAGCCUUCGAAGUGAGAAAUAAAGCAAAUUAUGUGGUGGUCGUGGGUCAAUUGACUACGUUUCGUGAUCUACGUGCGAUUGCAACAGUCGGUUCAUUAAGUGAAAUUAAUGACUCGUCCACUAUAGUAAGAUACUGUCCUCAUUAGGUUGGUGCUGGGUCAAUUUUAUCCAUGAGUCAACUUACAUUAAUUUGAAUUAAUUUAUAAGAGUAUCUCAUUUUCGUUGAUUACGAGUUGUGAUCGAUGACAUGCACGAAAGCAGUCAAUUUACAGGUCAUUCACUAUAUAUAUGGGGUCUAUGGGUGGAUGGAUCUAACGUAAAUUAAGGGUUGAUGAUGACCCUCGACUUCUAACGACGACCAUCGAAGACGACCUUGACUUUACAUGCAAACACACAAUUCGCUCUCAUACAUUAUGUUUUAAAAUUUCUCCAUUUUCCGGGGCCCCGCUGUCGACCGUACACAGUUUAAUUUGUAUAUACAAGACCUCAUUGUUUCUAGCAAGCAUAGAGCCAUAGACCAUAUUAAUUCCAAUUACAUAAAUCUUCAUUUUUAUCAUGAUUUUGGAUCUCGAGCAGUGUGGAUAUAUCCAACCAGAUCCGCCUCACUGGCAUCCCAAUAUAUUUUAGAAUUGAGUAAUGAGUAUCAAUAAAUGUGUAAUUGUAAAUCUACAACGUUUAAUUUUAAUUUGAGGACUCAAAUGAAUUUAUCCAACAAUACCUCGUUAAAUUAAUAUUCCAUAAAUUUUUAACUUUAAUUAAAUAACAAAUUUUGUCCGUCCCAACUUAGGAUUAACGUGGUAAUUAAUAAUUUGAUAAAUUGUUAGAUAAUAAUUUUUUAAAAAAAUCUUAUUUUUUUAUUGGAUCAAACUGAUAUAUAAAUGAAUAAUUAAUUAAUUUUAAAACUAAAUUCAUGUUAUGUCAAUCAAAUGUUAUUGCAAAGAAGACUAGCAGCGACGCUUUGAAAGGUACACCAAAGCCUUUUGCACCUUCUCCUCCGUGACCACCAAUAGAUACUUCCACCAUUUCAACGUCAUGACAUGAUGUAAGUUUCUUUUGUAGAAUUUGCGAAUUGGUAAUCUUUUACACGCGUAUAUUUAUAUCAUUGUAUAGUUAUAGAUUCAAUUACUUUUAUGAUGCAUUUAUUAAUUUGGAAUUGAAGUAGACAAGAAUGGGCUGUAAUGUGAAUGGAGAAUCGAAAUUAGAAUAAGUUAUUUACUUGAACUGUAGAAAUCGAAAUGAGUUGGAUUGUCAUUAAUGUGUUUACUUUGUCUUGGAAUCAGAAUUGAAAUAAGUUAGUUUAUAACAAAUUACUAAAAACUACUUAAUGAACUAUUGUUAUAAUUAUUAUUUUGUAUUUUAAUUAUUAUGAUUAUUUAUUAAAAAUUAUUAUUGUUAUUAUUACUUAUUGUUAAUAGUAUAUUAAUAUAUUAAUAAAUUAUAAUAAUAUAUUAAAUAACUAUAAUAUAUUAAAAAAUAUACUUGUAUUUACAAGAAAUGACUGAUAAAAUUUCUAAAAUCGUCUUCCUCCCUAAAACUCUUAAUGCCACAGCCCUAAAAAUUAAAAAGAUUUGGGAAUUAUAUGUCUUUUUUAAAAUAUUAAAGGGUGUUUAUUUCCUUAAACGGUGGGGACUAAAAGUCCUAUUCCCAAACGAGUAGUGUGCCGGCGUUGGAGGCUAGAAAGACAAUUUGUUACAUUGCUUCAGAAGUGCUUAAUGGAAAUUUUGGUGAGGCAUCACAUAAUUUAAAGGAUCAGGCUACGGUGCAACUGUGGUACCGUACUACAGUUGCAUCCAGCCGUUUUAAUUCACUUAUAUUGGUGAGGUUCACUGGCAUCCAACGGCUGAAUGCAACUAUGGCACGGUACCACAGUUGCACCACAAGUUUCCCCUAAUUUAAAUUACUGGAAUUUGCAUCAAUGGUUUUUAUUGGUUUAUUUACUCGUCAACAAAUUACUGUAACUGCAGAAAACAGUGUAACACAUUGUAUAAUACGUUAAUACGUUAUAUUGGUCAGUGCUCCUACCAAGGAAAUCUUUUUAAGUUUUGUUAGCAGAAUAUUCUUGUAAGGGUGGAGGCAUAAGAGAUUAAUAAUUUAAUAUCUCUUGUUCAUUAGAAGAUUUUUUUUUUUUGGGAAAAAAAAAGAAGAAGAUGGUUUGUUUAAUGUUGAUAAAUUUUGAAGUACAAUUUUAUAGAUGUCGAAUGUGGGCAAAAAGUAAAGAAGCUCAAACACUUUUCUACAUCUAAACUAAUCAUUAGGAUUUAUAUUAACUAAUAAACCCUAAUAAUACGAGCGUUCAUAAAAACUUCAUAUGAACAUUGAACCAGCAUGGCAUCAUAUUGUAAUAAGUUGUACAGCUGUCAAUCUCUUAUUAGUCAGAUAUAUUCUGAGUUAGUUACAUGAAUGUAGUAUAAAUAUCAUACUCUGUACACAUUCUUAGUUAGUUACUUCAGUAGAAUUUUCUCUCCUCUACUCAAUUUUUAAGUUAUCUUUUAUAUUGGGGGCAAAUGAUAUUUUAUUAACGAAAUGAUUUUGCCCUCUUAAUAAGCUCUCAUUUCUCCGCUUUGAUCAACACAGCCUUCUUUUAUUACAUCAAAAUUCUUCCUCUUUCCAUCAAAAUUUCAUGGAUCUGCCCUUACGUAAAAUCAUAUGAGAGUAUAUAAUAAAAUUAAUUAGGUAUGUUUGGAACAUUUUUGGUAUCCUUAAGCUGAUUUUAUUUUUAUUUUUUUAUAGUAUAUAUUGUCAAAAGUAAAUGCUAUAAACACUUUCGGAAAAAAAGAUGAAGAGCACCUUUGGAGUAAUUUUUUCUAUAGGAACUAACAAAACAACUAAAUGAUGUAUGUAUCUCUAAGAUUUAUUAUUAUUAAUUUUUUUUUCUGUAGUUGACAAAGCAUCAUGAUUGUGUUGGAUGAUAAGAUUAAAGGUGGGAAUGGUCCGAAUGGACCAAUUUUUUAGGAUAAAAAAAAAAAUGAUUCAAUCCUGGGCAUGUUUGGCUAUCGAAACUAGUUGAUUAGUCUAAAGUUUAAUUCAAAAGUAAUGGGACUAUUAAUCCUUAGGAAAAUUAUCAUUUGUAUACUCUAUAGAUGCUCUGUUAUAUAAAAAAUUACAACACUUUGAGAGUGUAUCAAUCGUCCACCCUAAGUUGACAAAAUAUAUCUGCCGUCCAUCAAACCGUUACUUGCUGUUUAAAUAGGAUAGCGCCAGAGGGGUAAUUUGGUCUUUUCAUAUGAUACAAGUGAUAAUUCAAGGGUAUACAAGUGAUAAUAAAAGAAUUUAAAGGUAUACAAGUGAUACUUUUCAAGGGUAAAAUCAUCAAUUCGCUAUAAUUCCGUUAACUUUCAAACGACAGCUAACGGUUUAGUGGUCGGCAGAUAACUUUUUUCAAUUUAGGGUGGACGAUUGAUACACCCUCAAAGUGUUAUAGUAUUUUUUAUAAUAGAACAUCUAUAGGGUAUACGAAUGAUAAUAUCCCUAAUCAAUCCUUAAUUCAACUUAGGUUUAAGUAGUAUAUAAAAAAUCUUCUUUAUCACUCUUUUCAUUUUUAUUUAGAUUAAAAUUCAUAUAAAUAAAUAUAAAGAAUUAAUUUCAUAAUUUAUUUAAACUAAAAUUUUAUAUUAUAUUAAAUAUCCAAAUUUUAAUUCAAUAAUUUAUUUAUAUUAGAAUUUUAUGCAAUAUUAAAUCCCAAAACUUUAUUUAAUAAUUUAUUUACAAAAAUAUUAAUAUCAAAUUCAACAAUUAGUAAUAUAAUUUAAAAUAAUUACACUAUUUUAAUAGUUAUUUAGCUAUAUUAAAUUAAAUUUAACAUAUCCUUGUCCGAUACUAUACUAAACAAACGAUAGUACCUUAUAUAGUAUAGUCAAUCUAUUAUAAUAUAAUUCAAUCUAAUCGAACGUGCCAAAUCAGUACAUUUUAAAAAAUAAUUUUAUAACAGCUUUAAAAAAGCAUUUUUUAAGUUACUUUUACAAAAUGUGCUUUCUCCGAAAGCACUCGUGAAAUGCAAAUUCUCACAAAACACGUGGUGUGUUCAAUUGGGCCUCCGCCCAUUAAAACUACAACCAUGAAAGCAAGCAAUGUUCAUUGGGCUUUAUUCUCUCGAGAAAACUUAUACACGUAGCCCACCACCGGCGCCCUAAUUUGUCUCCACCUCUCUAAAUAGAGUUGGACUAUUGGCACCUUUCCAAAAUUCUUCUGAAAUUCCUUUUUCAAUAAUAUUAAGUUUAAUGCUAAAAAUAUCCUUAUUUCCAAAUAAAUACAUUUAAUUUGUGAAUAUUUUAAUUUUCUAUUAUUUUCUCGCUCCUCACAAACAAAUUUUUAUGGGCGAUAAACUUCUUGAUAAAAAUCAAUUAAUUAAAUAAAAUAUCUAUAAGAUUAUAAUGUAAAAAAUUUUAUUAUGAGUCUUAAAAAAAGACAGAUAAAUUUAUCAGAAUGUGUUUUGUUUAUUAUCAAUAGAUUAUUUUAGUAAUUAAAGAAAAAUUUAUAGAGAAUUUGAGAAAAAAAAUUACGUGUGAGUUUGAUAGCAAAGAAAAUAUAAGAGUUUUUUUUUAAGAGAGAAAAUACAAAAGUUUGAAGUGAGAUAAAAUAGAUAUAAGAUAUAUUAGAGUAUUUAUCCUUAAAUUUAAUUGUAACAAAAGAGAGGUUUUAAAAAGAUUUUGGAGGAGUGUCUCCAACUCCUCUAAAUAUUAUUGAUUGAUGCAUAUGUUUCACAGCAUAGAGUGGCUUACAUUGGAGCUUUUCUAAAAAAAUGAAAAUUUCAUUUAAUUAUUUAUUAUUCACGGAUAAGAAAUUAACUUCUUCUUUUUUCUAACGCCACAGUCUGGUGAGCUUGCCUAGUGUGUUUUAGUUGGAUAAAAAUUUUAGCAAAUGCUUCUUGGCAAGGAAGCUUAAAUAGUUUAACCUGAAUUUAACCUCGAAUGAACCCAAAUUAUUAAACCGAACCAAUCCGAAUUGUGAAUCUGAAUUUCAGUUCGAUUCAGUUUGGUUCAGGUUCGUAUUUUCAACUCGAACAAGUUUAAUGCUCCAAUUCGAUCAGGUUGUAACCUAAACCGAAACUCGAAAACCCGAACUGAAACUCAAUUUGGCCACCCCUAAUGAGAACUGAGAAGUACCUGGAUCGUAAAAGAAAGGUUUUGAUGAUAAUUUUGGCUAAAAAUCUGUUUCUUAACUUCUAUUUUUAUUUUUUUAUGCUGUAUUUUAGUUGCUGAAUAGGUUAUAUAUAGAAGUUCAGUUAAUUUUGUUUUGGAUGAAAAAUCAAUGAGUACUUCUGUGAUUAAUAAGUGAAAUUUUGUUUGCAUCAUAUAGUCAGCUAUAAUGCAUUGGAUGGCUUUGACUCAGCAUGGAAGAAAUGCUCUCCGGCAGAUUACUAAAGAGAGCUCUGAUCGCGUGUUGCAUCACCCAUUGCUAUUUUCUUGUCAAGGAGUCAGAUACAGACGAUUGGAAGUGAUUCUAACAACAAUGAGUAAAUUGAUCUUUUGUUUUCCCUUUUCACCAGUUUGGAUCUCUUGACUAAUCAGCCUGUUUGAGUUUUAACUUGUGUAUUAAUGAUUGGUUUUAUAUGUUCAGAAAGUUGACAAGCUUGGUAAAGCCGGUGAAACUGUGAAGGUUGCUCCGGGGUAUUUCCGGAACCACUUGAUGCCCAAAUUGCUUGUUGUUCCAAAUAUCGAGAAGUUGGCUCAUCUCAUUAGAGAGCAGCGCAGGUAUUUGUUUUUCAUGAUUCUUCUCGGUUGAACUUUUUUUGUUUGGGUUGAGAAUGGUUAAUUCUAGUGAUACAGAAAUUUGCUCAUUUUCUUUAGAUACUUUGUUUAGCCAGUUUGUCAAUUAAUUUGACUCAUGGCUUCAAAUUAUUGCUAAAUUCUCAGUUUGGAAAUAUUUGUGAUUUUUGAAGGGGCAUUACAAGUUAUUAAAGUUUGUUGUGCCUGUGACUUAUUUUCAUCAGAUUUGCCAGCCUGAGGAAGAGGAAGAGGAAGAGGAAGAGGAAGAGGUUAGAGUUAUCCGGAAGUCUGAGGACAAUAUGAGUAGAGAAUUUGAGAAGGCAGCUAGGCGCCUAGAGAAUGCUCGACUGGUUUGUGGCCUAUCUUUUAAUUUCUUCAGAUUCGGGACAAAUUGUCUUGGAGUGAACUGAUGUGUUGCCUUUUCCUUUUUUUUUAGCUUGAAUGAUCUAUUUGCUACAGUUAGGAGUGAACGUCGUAAUGAAUUUUAAAUUAUACUGUUUGUUUCGAUUUACUUUUCUAUCUUAGCUCCAUCAAGUGAUUAGUGGAAUGCUGGUCCUGUGAGUAUAAAAUGAAACUCCUUAAGUUAAAUUCCUUAGGCUGUGUUUAUUUUCUGUAGUGGGAGCGAGGAGUGUAAAUUCUUUUCAUUUCAGUAUUUAUUUCAACAAAUUGGCUCCGGAUUGAGAAUCCCACUCAGUAGACCCCACCCAUUUUUGGAGUGAGAUUCCCAUGGGGAGAGGUGGGAGUGAGAUUCCCACUCCCACCUCUCCCUUUUUUUACAUUUUUUUUAAUUUAAUUUAAUUUAACUUAAUUUAAUAUUUAAUAAAAUAAAAUAAAUAAUAUCAUAUUUAUUUGAAUAAUAUUAUUAUAUUUAUUUUAAAAAUAAUAAUACUAUAUUUAUUUAAUAUUAAUAAUUAAUAAUAAUAAAUAGUUUAUUCUAAGAAAAUAUUAAUUUUGUCCUAAAUAAUAUUAUAUUAUUAUUUUAUAUAAUAAUAAAUUUAAUAUAAUUAUAUUAAAUAAAAUAAAAUAAUGUUUCAUUUUAUAUUUACCCUUCUUUUUUACCCUCUUUUUAUUAAAUUUACUAUAAUUAUAUUUAAUAAAUAUUUAAAUAAUAUUAUAUUUAUUUAAAUAAUAUUAAUAUAUUUAACUAAAUAAUAAUUUGGUUUGAUUCUAAGUCUAAAUUACUUAAAAAUAAUAUUAUUAUAUUAAUACAGAAUUAAUAAUAUUACUUUUAUACCAUCUUUAUUUGAAAAUAUAUUAUUAUUAUUAUUAUAUUUAUUUAAAAAUAUUAGUAUUAUAUUUAUUUAAUAUUAAUAAUUAAUACUAAUAAAUAGUUUAUUCUAAGAAAAUAUUAAUUUCAUACUAUGUUAAUAGUAAAAUAUUUCAUUUAUAUUGCCCUUAUCAAUAAUUUUUAAUUUAUAUAAUUAAAAUUAAAAUUAAUAAAAAAAUGUGAUGUUCAUAAUUAAGAAUAUUAAUAAUUAUUAUAAAUUUACAAAUAUAAAUGUUUAUUCAUUAAAUAUAUUUUUUAUUAACUUUGUAAUUAAAAACUAUAAUUCUUUAAAUAAGGAUAAAAUUGUAAUUUGAAACUAUUUACUCCCAAUCCGAGACAAACUAAACACAUAAAUUGAAUUCUGAUCUCCAUUCCAUGCUUUCAUUUUAGUGUAAGUAAACAACAUACUCCCACUCCCAAUCCUAAGAUUCCCACUCCAAUUCAAAAAGUAAACGCUACCUAAAUACAAGUAAUCUUGCUUUCAGAUAUGAAUUAUCUGAUGGAUGUUGUAUUUUCAAGGUAUUGAGGAGAUUCCCCAAUAUUGAAAAAUUGCGUUCCCGUGCAUCAAAAGAUGAUCCCAUAGAAUUGCGUUCACCUGUGACAAAAGAGGAGCUUGUAGUUGAGGUAUGGAUUUUUAUAUUUCUUGGUUGUUUUUAUACUUGUUUCUCAUCAUAAUAGCAAAAGCAGUUUGUUCUGAGUGAUCUGUGUGGUCUCCUAUCAAUGACUGCCGUUUCUAUCAUUUAGUACUAUUGACUAUGUGUGUAUAAAUAUUUUGUUUUUACCAUGUAAUUUCAUAUUCGAUGCAUUUCUAAUACAUUGCAUAGCGUCCAUGAAUGGGAAUGAUAAAAUAAAUUUCAAGCGUGUUUCAAUAGAUGAAAAAACUUGGAACGAUUUAGAAGGAUUUGCUGAUUAAAUAAUUUUCCAAUUUGUUUGCUUGGAGGAAUUGAAUAGUUAACUGAUUAAAGGAUUUCAAGGUGGUUCGGUCCCGCUGGGCAUUGUCAAUAUCAACGGUCAUUAAUUCCUAUUAUCUGAAAUUGAAUUUCCAGUGUGGCAUGGUAACUUUCUGCUAGGGUGUGAUUGUAUAGUAGCCAAUUGUGAGCAACAGAUCCGCAUAGUAAUAUAGAUUGAAAUUUUGCAUCUUAAUCCAUGAAGAUAUAGAUUUUGGCAAUAUUAUACAAGCACUGGGGAUUACCUUAAAUAUUCUGGACUUGUCAUUGAUAGAGUUUCUUUUACCUAGUUAUUGAUAUUUCUUUCAAUUUUCUAUUUUACUCAUACAAUUUAUACAAUUUUAGGUGGCAAGACAACUUUCGUUUUCUAUUGAGCCUGAAAACCUGCAUCUACCAUCACCUCUAUCUGCUUUUCGAGAAUAUGAGGUUCCUAUGCGCUUACCCAAAGCCAUCCCCCUACCGGAAGGAAAGGUCCAAUGGAUUCUCAAUGUUAAAGUCCGCGGCAAAUAAAUAUUUUUUAGUUAAUUUUUUAAUCAAUAAAAAAAGGUAAUUAAAAAUGUAAUUAAUAAAUUACUUAUUAGCAAAUUAAAAAACAAAUAUUAGCAUAAAAUAAUUGAUAUUUCAUUCUCUUACAACAAUCUUACCAAUUAUUAUUUAUAAAUUAAUUAAUGCAAGUUAAUUUAAAGUAAUGUUUAAUAUUCUUGUAACAACCUUACUAAUAAUUUUUUGAUAAAAAAAUUAAUUUAUUAAAUUAAUCCUAGAAGUAAAAUAAUAAUAAUUAAUUUGUAUUUUAUUUUUAAGAUUAAUUUGAUAAAUUUAAUUUUUUUUAACUAAUAUCUCCAAGAAUAUAGUUGUAACGAUAUUAUUACAAAAGGAAAAAAAAUAUAAGAUUAUAAUAUAUUUACCAGUAAGAAUAAUUUAAAAUAUUUUUUAAGAUAUAAAAAUUAAACGGACACUUAAUUAAAAAAAAAAAAAAAAAACUAAAUAAGUAGUUAGCUUUUAACAUUUCAACCUAGUGGUCAUACAAUCAUGGUGCGGCCCGGGAUGGCUGGCCCAGCCCAUCAUGUAAAAAUCCAUGUCACCCUCAUUCUUAAGCUGCUACUCUGCCACUUGCCACGGAGCUCCCCACAUCAUACCGUACCGAUGCCUCUAGAAAGCUAACUUUAAAAAAAUGGUAUUAAUAAGCGUACGCCACGUCACUCCUCACUCUCUUCUUCGUCACUUUCCUCUCACUCAACAUUUUCUCCCCAAACAAAUUCCUUCUUUGAAAAAUCGCAUUUUCUCCUUCACAGCAACCGCUACAAUGUCUUCAACUUCCAAGAAGGUAAUUUUUUUAAAUUUUAUUUUUUGUUUAGUUUCUUUCUGUUGCCUUUUUGUUUCGUUUUUUGAAUUUUCUGUGUCGUUUUUUUUUUCCCAAGGUUUUGGUGCCUGUUGCGAACGGGAGUGAGCCGAUUGAAGCCGUGAUAACGAUCGAUGUUUUGAGAAGGUCUGGAGCUGACGUCACGGUUGCGUCUGUGGAUAAACAGCUUCGUGUCGACGCGUGUCAUGGUGUCAAGAUUGUCGCUGAUGCUCUCGUGUCUGACUGCCGCGACGCUGUUUCUGAUCUUAUAGCUCUGCCCGUAUGUAUUGCAGCUCACCUCAGCUCAUGCUAAUUUAUGUGAUGUUUGUAUAAUUAUAGAUGAUUACUGCUGAUACUGAAUGUUAAAGCUAAAUAAUUCGUUCUUAAGUCAUCUUCAUUUAAUUUUCGAUUGAAAAUGAAAAAAAAAAUAAUUUUAAGCAAAGAAAAUGUUUAUUUUGUUUUAUUUUUAUUUUUAAAUUUUUGGGAUUUCCUUAUUGUGACUGUUGUCAUUCAUUAUAUGGUCCUAGUUAAAUGUUUCAAGUUGUUGUAGUCUGUGAAACUCUUUUCGAUAUUUGUUCUGGCAUGUACAUUUUUCCUUUCAAUUUAUUUUGUUGCUGAUACUUUGAUUAUGAUAUAUCCUUUUUUGUUUCCCUUGUAGGGUGGCAUGCCCGGUGCUACCAAUCUGAAAGAAUCUGAAGUAUUAGAAACCAUUGUGAAGAAGCAGGCUUCAGCUGGGCGUCUUUAUGCUGCUGUCUGUGCUUCACCUGCUGUGGCAUUAGGGUCUUGGGGUCUGUUGAAGGGAUUGAAGGUAAGAAUUAGAUAAGCCUUUUUUUAUGUUUGGUGUUCUUUUGGGAAUUGCAUUGAUAUUUGUGUUAUACAUCAGUUUUGCUCUCACCGAUGAUUGUUAAGUUCUAAUUUAUGGGGUUAUUCAUUUUUUGUAGGCUACUUGUUACCCGUCAUUUAUGGAGCAAUUAGCUCCUGCUUGUGCAGCAACUGUUGAAUCAAGAGUACAGCAGGAUGGUAAAGUUGUUACGAGUCGUGGACCUGGCACUACUAUGGAGUUUGCCAUUGCACUUGUCGAGCAGUUGUAUGGGAAAGAGAGAGCUGAUGAAGUUUCUGGGCCACUGGUAGUAACUUUUAUAGAUAAUGUUGUUUAAAAAAAUUGUGAGUUAUAUAAUUUGUGGAAAUUCAUUCUAAUAGGUUCAUCUAGUAUGUCAAAUUGGAAGGUUCAGAUGCUAAUAUAUUCCAAAAAAUUUGUUCAGGGGAAAAGUAUGACUUUUUGCAUUAGAGAUUCAUUAGAUGAAGUUGUAUACCUGCUGGCCCAUCUUAAUGUGGUGAAAACGAUGUCUGAUGAGACUGAUAUAAUUAUUGGAAUCUUGAUAAAUGCAUUUGUUGAGCUUGAAUGUCUCCACUGAUCACGUUCUUUUUAAUGUAAGUUCUUUCUCUUGGUAUUUGUCUUUGAAUCUUCUCUUCCUCAUGCUUUCGUCUUCACUGUCACCUUGUGCCUAGGUAAUGCGUGCAAAUCAUGGAGAUGAAUACACUAUUGCUGAAUUCAAUCCAAUUCAGUGGACAUUUGACAAUUCUCCCCAAGUAAGAUUUGACUUCUAGUUUCUUGUAGUUGUUUUUCUUCAUCCGAUGUUUUCAGGGAUACCCAUUUGGCAGUAUAUAAAAGUCUGUGAUAUCUUCUAUACAUAUACAUCAUUGGCUUCAGUCAUUUUCGAACAUAUUGGAGGUAGUAGAUGUAUUUUUAUGAUAUCUCUAAUAAAAUCCCAAGUUUGAUCAAUUACAAAAGAAGUAUGAGCGGUGCUGGACCGGGGGGGAAGAAGAAGUGGGGGGUCGGUGUGGUGGGGGUGUGCAGUGCAUGAAUAAAAGGAAAUGAUAGGGGGUGAAAGUUUGUGCUACCGACAUGCUGUAAAAUGGGGACAUAAUAUUUCAAAUUAGAUAUUGUGUGAUCCUUAAUAUUGCUGACUUUUGCUUAAAAUGGAAUUCUUGA
rnacentral:lncRNA from 1 species